GGGGCGUGGCUCAGUUGGUAGAGCGAUGCGUUCGCAACGCAUAGGCCGACGGUUCGAAUCCGUUCGUCUCC
rnacentral:tRNA from 1 species